rnacentral:miRNA from 1 species
CUGGCUCGGCUACUGGUUUUUAAU